rnacentral:rRNA from 1 species
GUGGGGAAUAUUGGACAAUGGGGGCAACCCUGAUCCAGCCAUGCCGCGUGAGUGAUGAAGGCCUUCGGGUUGUAAAGCUCUUUUGGCGGGGACGAUGAUGACGGUACCCGCAGAAUAAGCCCCGGCUAACUUCGUGCCAGCAGCCGCGGUAAGACGAAGGGGGCUAGCGUUGUUCGGAAUUACUGGGCGUAAAGCGAGUGUAGGUGGUUGUCAUAGUCAGGUGUGAAAGCCUUGAGCUCAACUCAAGAAAUGCACUUGAUACUGGGCGACUAGAGGACCGGAGAGGAUAGUGGAAUUCCCAGUGUAGUGGUGAAAUACGUAGAGAUUGGGAAGAACACCAGUGGCGAAGGCGGCUAUCUGGACGGUUACUGACACUAAGACUCGAAAGCGUGGGGAGCAAACAGGAUUAGAAACCCUGGUAGUCC